rnacentral:lncRNA from 1 species
UCUUCACCAUAUAUUCUUCAUAAUCUCAUCCAAAUCUUCUACCCCAUUAACAUCUCUACCACUUUCCUUCUCUACCUUCACAUUCUAGUUCCAUCAAGCCUACCAAACUUCUUCUCUAUUUCUAGCAACCAUGAAAACCCAUCUCCACUGCUGAUACCAGAUCUUACUCCCAUUACUCCUCCCUAUGUGGAACUCACCCUUGUAGAAAUCACCAUUGUUGUAAAGCUCAACCCCCUUAUGUUAUCAUCUUGUUGUUCUUCUUUACUGAAUUGAACUACACAUUAGUGUUAUUGUUGAUGACCCACUGAACCAUUUUGAUUGGGUAUAUACCAAACCUUUUUAAUUUCUCAUCCCAGGAGUGCUUUAUUGAUGAGAACGAGUGAUUGAUUAAGCCUUUGCUUUUGGAUGUAAAUUAAAGUGCCACAAAAAUGAAGAUCAACACGAAAAGAACAUUCUCUGAAGUGGGUACAACGUAGAAGAAGUAGUAGAGAUAAAAAAAGAGACACGGAGUGAAAAACCCAAUGAAGCAAAAGCGAGAACCGGGUCAAAAAUGGAACUGGAUGUUGGAUAACAAGGGCUUAUGGUCACCUAGAGGGAGG